UGGGUAGUUUACGAACGUCCUUGUCCUACCAAGCGCACACCGUCUGCCUGCACGCAAGGGCUCUCCAGGACCUCUGUCAUUCACUUGUACUUGAAUAAAACCUGCUUUUCAGUCAUGAUGGCAGCAAGAUUUCUCCGCCGUGCUCUCCCUGCGCUGAGACAAACUCGCUCCUACGCCGAGGCUGCGAGCGGAGCCCCGCAGAUGUCCUUCACUUUCGCCUCCCCGACGAAGGUGUUUUUCAAAGAGGCCAGUGUGAAACAGGUAGAUGUGCCCACCCUUACUGGUGCGUUUGGUAUCCUUCCAGCCCACGUACCCACCCUGCAGGUGCUCAGGCCUGGGGUUGUCACAGUCUUCAGUGAGGAUGGCUCCUCUGUCAAGUACUUUGUGAGCAGUGGGUCCAUCACAGUCAACGCUGAUUCUUCAGUGCAGCUGCUGGCUGAGGAGGCUGUUGCUUUGGACCAGCUGGACGUUUCUGCUGCUAAGGCAAACCUGGAGAAGGCUCAAUCUCAGAUGGCUGGUGCAUCUGACGAGGCAGCGAGGGCAGAGGUCCAGAUCAGCAUAGAUGCCAGCGAGGCCAUCGUCAAGGCCCUGGAGUAGACCUGUGGUACGACAUGUAAACUGCUAUACAAUGAUCUGCUUUAGAGAUAAAUGUCAUCUUUUCUGUUUGUUUGAUGGGAUUCAAUCGUCCAUCUGUCUUUUUUCCAGCUGGGUCAAAUCGGUGUCCAGAAGAUCCCAUGCUUGCUUUGUACAGUGGAUAAAAUAAAUUUAUUUGGAAUUA